GUCAUUAUUUGGCGAGCGUUUAGGCGUUUGCAUUUUUGAUUUACAGAAAACGCGUGAAUGCUUGAUUACGGCAUUAAAUUUUGUCGCUCAUAUGGCAAUGCGUGGUGGAAUGUUCUUAUUCAUUACGACGGGAAGGUGAAGAAAUUAGAACUCCGAAGCGAUUCUGGUGUGCAAAUCGAUCGUCUGACUUUGGUAUAGGGACGAGUGACUAAUCAAACUAUCUAGUAGCUAGUUCCCUUUGAAGUUUUCCUCAGAAUAGCUGUAGUACGUAAUAAAGCAGUCAUAUUCGACAAAGCAAAUGAACAGAAAGGAAUUGUGGGACGAAACGUCGUCAACUCAAACUGUCAGUGAGUAUGACGUCCCGCUUGCUUAAACGAAGCGUAGACAUUGAAUGUGUGCUCCAAGUAGAUCACUUAUGAUAAGGAAAACUGGCGCUGUGGGAUGAACCAAAUACUGAGUAUAAGUCUCCGCUCAGGCCAUCCAUUUUUAGGGCUGAUUUAAAAUCAAUUGGUCAAGGAAGCGUAAGGUUUCAUGCUGCGCUGGAUGAUCCAGUUUAGA
rnacentral:ncRNA from 1 species